rnacentral:rRNA from 1 species
AAACCCGAAAGGUCGAAGGGAGAAAUUCAUUCGCCGUUUCGUCGUAGACGUUAGACGAGAUUGAGCGACGGGAAGAGAGAAAGUUUCGCGAGAGAUUUUUCUGUUUUUUCCGCACCGCUCGUUUUUCGAUUCGACGACGAACGCGUGCACUUUUCUCUUGGUAGGACGUCGCGAUCCGUUGAGCGUCGAUUUACGGCUAACGUAGGUARACCGUACGUAAUAAUUUUAAAAGGUUAUUCACGUACGGACGCGUUUGUUUCCUAAUCGACUCGCUCGACGGUAUACGAGAUGGUUUAAGGCCGCGACUAUCAUGUGUUCGCGUCCGACUCUUAACAAGCGCGCCAGAUGUUUGUCGGUAAUCUCGGACCUAGUGCCGAUUCUGACCUCUGGUGACUGUUGGUUGAGAAGGAAAUUUUAUAUUUCUCGGACAGACCUUUAACCGAUCGGCGACGCUAUAGAUUUGGGUACUUUCAGGACCCGUCUUGAAANNNNNNNNNNNNNNNNNNNNNNNNNNNNNNNNNNUUGGGAAUAUAAUUAAACCUAAAAGGCGUAAUGAAAGUGAAAGUUCGUUUUACACACGAACCUAGGGAAGAUGAUCGAUUUUUUUUUUUUUAAAUAGAAAACGAUCCGCAUUCCCGGGGCGUCUCGUUCUCAUUGCGAGAAGAGGCGCACCAAGAGCGUACACGCUGGGACCCGAAAGAUGGUGAACUAUGCCUGGUCAGGACGAAGUCAGGGGAAACCCUGAUGGAGGUCCGUAGCGAUUCUGACGUGCAAAUCGAUCGUCGGAACUGGGUAUAG